rnacentral:rRNA from 1 species
GACGUAGGGGGCGAGCGUUGUCCGGAUUUAUUGGGCGUAAAGCGUGCGUAGGCGGCUGCGCAAGUCGGUUGUGAAACCCCGGGGCUCAACCCCGGAACUGCAUCCGAUACUGCGUGGCUAGAGGUAGGUAGGGGAGAUCGGAAUUCCUGGUAUAGCGGUGAAAUGCGCAGAUAUCAGGAGGAACACCGGUGGCGAAGGCGGAUCUCUGGGCCUUACCUGACGCUGAGGCGCGAAAGCUAGGGGAGCAAACAGG